rnacentral:rRNA from 1 species
CCCUUAGAUGUUCUGGGCCGCACGCGUGCUACACUGAACGGUUCAAUGGGUAAGGUAGUGCGAAAGCAUGACCUAAUCUCGAAAUCCGUUCGUGCUGGGGAUAGAAGCUUGCAAUUAUCCUUCUUGAACGAGGAAUACCUUGUAAGCGUGAGUCAUCAUCUCACGCUGAAUACGUCACUGCCCUUUGUACACACCGCCCGUCGCUCCUACCGAUUGAGUGUUCCGGUGAGGCUUUGGGAGAAUGGCCUCAACAUGAGUUUAUCGUGUUUUGCCGUUUGAACUUAGUCAAACCUUAUCACUUAGAGGAAGGAGAAGUCGUAACA